CAAUGACUGGGUGGAAGGGAACAGGAACAGGAAGGGAAGUAGAAGGAAGAAUAUUCCUUGGAAAAUGGACUCUACAAACCAAACCUCAGAACCUCUCACCCCUCCAAGGAAAGGUUCAGUUUCUGAAAGACAUGUCUGGACUCCUUUGUAGUUAAGGAUGUCACAGGUUCCGAUAUACAAAUGUGACCAAUGAGAUAUAAAUUGAAACAUGCUUAGGAUUUUUGGUCAAGUUUUGUUUCUCUUGAAGUACAUGUCCCCAUUCCUUCUUUAUGUCUAUCUUCUUUCUAUAUGGAACACGAACCCAAGACUCCAGGUAGGGCAACUAUCAGACAUCCUUGAGUAAGGGAAGGGCUAAGACACCAUUGAUUGUGCAGAUAUUCAGCAACGAUUGGAGUGAUUUUGAUUGACACAAGUGAGGUUGAGGGAAGGAAAAGUGGAGCAUGUUGCACUCAUCUCCUGGUUUGUAGCAAGGAUGCUGAUAAACGGCUUACAAUGUGCAGUCAGUCCCUCCACAACCAGGAUUUAUCCAUCAGAUGAAUGAGAAGGAUCACAAUGGUAAAUGGAGCUUGGCAUUAUUCCUCAAAUGCAAGCAUACUGGAGGCUGAUAAGAAGGAGUCUUGACUCUUGAGAGUAACCAAAAUGUCGAUAUUUGUCUUUCAUAUGUUAGAAUGACUUGGUCUUGGUUUUGUAUUUUGAGCCUUAUCUAGUCAUCACUGAUAGAAAAGCUAUUGAAUGCUUGCUAAGGGUCCAGCCUGACCAUUAACAUUCACAUGAGGGUUAUUUUGUACUCUGGAGGCAGGCAUUGAGCCUCAGAGAAGUUCAGAAUUCUGAAAUGA